GAUGAACGCUGGCGGCGUGCCUAAUACAUGCAAGUCGAGCGAACAGACGAGGAGCUUGCUCCUCUGACGUUAGCGGCGGACGGGUGAGUAACACGUGGAUAACCUACCUAUAAGACUGGGAUAACUUCGGGAAACCGGAGCUAAUACCGGAUAACAUGUUGAACCGCAUGGUUCAACAGUGAAAGACGGUCUUGCUGUCACUUAUAGAUGGAUCCGCGCCGCAUUAGCUAGUUGGUAAGGUAACGGCUUACCAAGGCAACGAUGCGUAGCCGACCUGAGAGGGUGGUCGGCCACACUGGAACUGAGACACGGUCCAGACUCCUACGGGAGGCAGCAGUAGGGAAUCUUCCGCAAUGGGCGAAAGCCUGACGGAGCAACGCCGCGUGAGUGAAGGAGGUCUUCGGAUCGUAAAACUCUGUUAUUAGGGAAGAACAAAUGUGUAAGUAACUAUGCACGUCUUGACGGUACCUAAUCAGAAAGCCACGGCUAACUACGUG
rnacentral:rRNA from 1 species